ACAAUAUUCAGAAAACAAAAGCUACGCUUUAGGUGUAUGGUCCAUAAGUGCUGAAAGUGUCAGAAAAUAGUUAUAUGAAGUGGCUGACAGCAUGUAAAUUAUCUCCUGACAAUAAAACAUUUGAAUCAUUAUUGCCUCCUUUUAUCUACAGCAACAUCUCUUUUAUCUUCUUUUGAUGAUACUUUCAACACUUAUGGACUAUAUAUAGCUAACUCAAACAAGGUUUGCUUGGAUAAAAUUAUAUGAUAAAAAGGUGUAUUGAAUAAAUAAAGAGGGUAAAAAUGCCAGGACCAUAUAGUGAAGAUGUGCGGGAACGAGUUUUCAAGAUGAUAGACGAAAAAAAGGAGAUAAAGUUGUUACAUCAUGCGCAUUUGAGGGAUAUUGCAACAGUGAGCUUUUUGAGACUUAUGUUGAAAGCAUGCUAGUGCCGGAAUUAAAGCCUGGACAAACAGUUAUUAUGGACAAUGCAAGUUUUCAUAAGUCGGUCAAA